UUGGAGUGUCUCCUUACCUUGUAUCUAGUUCAAGGUCUGCUUGAGAUGUGUAAGACCCUAACUGAAGAAAUAAAACACAGUAGGGUCUAGUUGGUUAAUAAAGACCCAAACUUUGAAUUGAUGAUAAGGUAAAUGGUGUGUCUAGUAUUUAUUAGAAUUGUAAUGUGGUGAUACAAACUUACACACAUGAAAAGUAGGUUUGGCUAAUACUCUGUGUUUAUCUCCUACAUCAUUAGUUGAAGACAUGCAAAGUGAUUAGGAAAAGAUAAGAUACAGAAUUUUAACUGGGCAUAGAAUUGAAGGCCUGUAAUCCCAACCUUUGGAGGUAGACGCAGAACCUAAGAGUUUGAUGACAGGAGUUGGAGAGAUGGAUGAAGAGUUAAGAACUCUUGUUGCUCUUCCAGAGAACCAGGUUCAGUACCCAGCAUCUUCAUGGUGGUUCACAAUCAUCAGUAACUCCAGUUCCAGUGGAUCUGAUGCCUUCUGGCCUCCGUGGGCAACAGGUAUGCAUGUAAGAUAGAAAUACAUAUUAAACACACACACACACACACACACACGCACACGUAGGUAAAACAUUCAUACCAUAAAAAUUUGAGGCCAGCAUAUAUGACUACACUGUCUAAAACAAAAAAAAAGUGUACCCUUACUCAAUAUAUACCAUAUACAGAAUAAAGUAUUUAUAUGAAUUUCUAUUUGAAGUUCAUUUGCAUAUCCUGCAAAAAGGUGAUUUGAAGCCUAAGUGAAACAAAUAUGUGGUUUUCAUAAAAAUACAACUAAUUUUAUACUCUAAUUUAAAAUAUCAUUUUGUAAGGUUGAGUGAACUUCCUUCAGGGAGUUGUAUUUGGCUGGGCGUGGUGUCAUCCCUCUAAUUCUGGCACUGGGGAACGGAGGAAGGAGCGCACCAGCUAGAGCCAACCUGGGCUAUGGAAUGGCAUUGCUUUUAAACGGAAGCUGUGCUUCAUGUUGAGAACAGUAUUUUGACAUUAAAUUGGUAGGGUUCAGGCUGUAAUGAGCCAUGCACAAAUCUUUGUGAUUAAAAAAUAGUGUUUUUCUCCAUACAAAACAUAUAUAUAAAUGUUCAUAGUAGUUAAAUCAUAACAUUCAAAAACAAGCAACCCAGAUCCUUUCCAGUUGAUUUAGGUUAUUCAUCAAUGAAACAGAAUUGCACUGAACAGAAGAGAAUGCUGGCAUAUAGUAGCACACACUUGUAAUCCUAGGAAUAAGGGAGGAUCGUGAGUUUUAAGGUCGGCCUGGGCUACUCCUGAGGUCUAGGCCAGGCUAGAUGAGGUAUGCAGAAAGAAGUGGGAAGGAAAACAUUACAAGCCCAUUUAAACUAUUCGUGAAGGAAUCCCAGCAAACGAAAAUGGAAGCAAGAAAGCUUUUUUUCCUUUUUUUGGCAUGAAUAUACUUUCUUAUACAUAUGUGUGUGCACACAAUUAAGCAAUCACCUUUCUUACUGCCAUCUUAUACAAGACUUAUUAGCACUUCAUCAGUAUUUUAAAUAUUGUUAAUUUCAUCGAGUAGUCCAGUUAGAAGAAAAGUAAAUAUUACUCAAGGGCCUUGUCUGGGGAAGGGACAGUGCCCCCAAAGCAAUAUGUAAAAUACUAUGAUGCCCAACCUUGAUGGAACACUCAGCUUGACUGGGUAGAGGGAUGCCCACAUGGUUGGUAAAACAUUAUUUCUGGUGUAUCCAUGGUAUGUUCUUGGAAAAGCUUAUCCUUUGAAUCAAUGAACUGAGACCAAAGACUGGCCUCAACACAAAUAAGAAAAUUUCAAUCCAUGUAGAUUCUGAAUAAAAUAAACUGGCAGAGGAAUGGAAAUUUGUUUCUUAUAUUCACCUUCUCUGGCCCUCAGAUGGACACCAAUACUUCUGGAUUUCUGACCUUUGGAUUCACUAGGAAGCUUUUAUUGCAGUCUCUUCACCCCCCCCCCCCACCCCCCAGGCCUUCAGACUACAGCUGAAUUCUGCCACUUGCUCAUCAUUUAAGCAGCAUAUUUUCGGACUUUGUGAUCUCCAAGAUAGUGUCAGAGCCAUUUCCACUGUUUCUUUAGGAAACUCUAAUUACUGUGUUCCUCUUUUCUCAAGCAUAGCAGGACUAUUGCCUUAGAACACAGAAUUCAUUGUUACAUUAUUAUACUCACUGUUUCAUAAAACUUAUUUUGUAUUUGUUAGCUUGCAAUACUGUCUCUAUAACAUUGUUCCUAUAUCUGAAAGUUAUUCUGCUGUUCAGCCAACAUUUAUUUACAAGUACAGUUUUUAAAAACAAGCUCAGAGGUUGUUUUAAAAAUAACCAUUGUGAGAUGGUUCAGUAGUUUAAAGCACUGGCCUCUCUUCCAAAGGACCUGGGUUCUAUUCCCAGCACCCACUUUGUGGUUCACAGCCAUCUGUAACUGCAGGCCUAUGGGAUUAAAUGCCCUCUUUUGGCAACCACAGGCACCAGAAUACAUGCAGUGCACAGAUGUAUAUAAGUAAAAUACCCAUACCCUUAAAAAUAAAAAAGACAAAACAUCAAAUCCACUUAUAAUCCAAGACAGCUUUUGAUGUGGGAUCCAAUAGGUUAAGUGCCUAUCCAUAACUGUCACCCAGUGACCUUUAUACAUUUGAAUAGGUUGCAUGGGGUUCUUGAAAGAAAUGUUAUGUUAUGGUUCUUUGGUUUUGUUUCCUUUAAGAUUAGGCCUAACUAUGUAGCUCAAGCUGACCUCAAAGUCAUUAUGUUAUGAACUGGCCUAAAAGUUAAGAAUUUUCUGCAUCUGCUUCUGGAGUGCUGAUUUUAUAGGGAUGUAUCACCAUGCCUGACUCAGACAAACGGUUUCUAGCCAGAAUAGUAUUCAUGUAUCUUAACUUUUUUUAAUUUUUAAAUUUUUAUUUUUUAAAAGACAGGGUUUUUACAAAGCCCUGGCCAUCAAUGGAACUAUGUAGGCCAGGCUGGUCUCAAAUCACAAAGAUCUGCUUGCCUUUAUCUCCCUAGCACAGAGAUUGAACUAUCCUGGGCUUAAACCAAGGGAGUUAAUCAGAGAAUAUGUCUGUGAGAAAAAAAAAGUUGUCAUUAAGUGAAAAAGUAGGACAAAGCUGGAAACAAAAAAAGGGAAAGUUCAUAGGAGAUAAAUAAACAGUGAGAGUAUCAAGAUGACUUAGGAAGUUUGGGAAGCAGUAAGUAUUUUGCUGUGUGUGCCUAUAUAUGCAGUCGUGUACAUGCACCCUCGAGACAAGACUGCAAUGUGGGAUUCAAUCUUGAGUUCUGAAGUGGAUGUGAUGACCUUUUUUUUUAAAUGAAAAAAAGGCUUGAUUGGAUUUCGUUCAUAAAAUAUGUCUAUGAUAGCCUUGUAAAGGAUAUAUGGAAGUGUGAUGGGAGAGUCUUUGAGAAGCCCACACUCAUGCUUUCAGGUACAUUUCUUAUAAGUACAUUUCUUUCAACCUGUAUGUUUACAGUGUUAACUAUAACCUGGACUUGUAAGCCAAAUGAGCCCUUUCUUCUUUAAGUUGUAUUUUGUCAAAGUGUUGGAACUUUGAUAGUUCUAGAUUGGGGUAGAUUUGAUAGUUCUUAGAUAGUUCUAGCCACAGCUAUUUUUUUUUUUACAGCUUUAUGGAACCAUAAAUGGCACGUAACAAAUUAUUGUGUGCUUAAAACUUACAACUUAGCAACUUGCAUUUGUAUAGAGCAGUCAAAGUACCAUUCAAAAUACAGGAUGUUACUGUGUACCUUUUUUAAAAAAUUUUUUUCUACUUGUUUUUUAAGCUUUAUUUAUGUAUUUUAUGUAUGUGAGUCACCAUCGGCUGUCUUCAGACACAGCAGAAAAGGGCAUGGGAUCCCAUUACAGAUGGUUGUUACCACUGUGUGGUUGCUGGGAAUUGAACUCAGGACCUCUGGAAGAGCAGUCAGUGCUCUUAACCUGUGAGCCAUCUCUCCAGGUCGACUUUGUGUGGUUUUUUUCCCCCAUCUUCCUUUUCAAAGGAAACCAUUUACCUGUUUUCAUUUUUUAUAGAUUAGUUUGCAUUUUCUUUUUUAAGUUUUUUCUUCUUUUCCGAGACAGGAUUUCUCUGUGUAGCUCUGGCUGUCCUGGAACUCACUUUGUAGACCAGGCUGGCCUUGAAUUCAGAAACCUGCCUGCCUCUGCCUCCCAAGUUCUGGGGCUAAAGGCGUGUGCCACCACUGCCCGGCCUUUUUUAAGUUUUUUUUUUUUUUUUUUCCAGGUCUUAAAAUAUUUGUUUUUUGUUUUUUGUUUUUUUUCUUCUGUGUGGCCAUGUGUGCCAUGGUCAGAAGGCAAUUGUCAAAUGUCAGUUCUCUCUUUCCCAUCUUUCCCAUGGUAGGUCCUGGAGAUUGAGUUUAGAUUGUCAGACUUGGUGGCAGUCACUUUUCCCUGACGAGGCAUCUAGCACUUUAUUUGAGUUACACAGAAGGCCCUCUUUUCUGUUUUCUUUCACAUAAUAAAAUUAUCAGAUUUAUCUAUGAUGACAGAGCUCUCCAAACUUCACUGAUUUACAGAAACAACUAAAGCUGCAGUUACUGGAGAACUCAACUUCAUAAAACUUUUGCUACAGAAUAAAGUUUACAAUGUUGACUUUUGUUUUUCAAGGUUCCCUAAGGUUGAGAAACUCAAGUCUUACUACUAAAUAAGAGGAAAUGCUAACUCAUUUCUGGGAACUCAGGCAACAGUGUAAAAAUAUAUGUAUUUAGGGUAGAACUCGAAAAGAUGUUAUUCAUAAACUUGUGCUGGGUGUGAAAACAAAAUAGAAAAAUAAAAUAUUUACAGAAAACCAAAAUUCUAUACAACAAAAGUUGUAUUCAUUUAAAGGAAAUUAAAAUAAAACGGGCCGGGCGGUGGUGGCGCACGCCUUUAAUCCCAGCACUUGGCAGGCAGAAGGAGGAUCAGAAUUCAAAGCUGGUUUUGGUACAGUUUGAGGCUAGUCUGGACUCCAAGAGAUUCUGUUUCAAAUUAACAUAAGAAGAGCGAAAAAAUACAUUAGGAGACAUUUUUUUUGAGAUUUUGUUUUUAAUGUAUUAAGUGCUGCUACCCAAAGUUCCCAGCAGCCAGUUAGUGGACUGCUAUGGCAGCUUACACAUAACCACAAAGGCUGAGGUAGAGCUAAGGCAGCUUGUCCACACCAGGAGAAACUUCCAUUUUAAAGAAGAACAGAACUACCUUACAUUCUGUGUCUCUAUAUAUACACAUUUAAAAGAAACAUCAUACAUUUGAUUUUUUUAAGUUAUUAACAAGUUUCUCCAAAUAGUUCAUGUUUCUCAAAGAUAGGGAAUCCAAGAUCUCAGGGUCCCAUCUUGUGAAGGUCUUCCUUCUUUAUCUUAACAUGGCUGAAAGACCAGCAAACACACGUAAGACCCAGAGAAAAGGUACAGGCUAUAAACUUCAUCUUUUGAGAACCAACCCACUCACUGGAUGCCUUUAAUCCAUUCCUGAAGGCAAAGGCCUCACCACCUAACCACCACCCAUUACACACUAUCCUUCAGUGACAGCUGAAUUGAGGAUUGCUUUCAACACAAGAACUUUGGAGGACAUAUUCAAACGCGUAGGCAUAAGAGAACUGCAAGAAAUAAGGCAGGUAACAUGCAGGUGAGCAGUGGCUACCUUUCAGGAGCUCCUCCAUGCAUGCAAGCCAAGAGGAAACUGAUUAUACAAGUUGAAAAGUGAUUCUCUGAAGCAAGUUUGUUUUUUUUUUUCUAUUUCUCAUGGGGUCUGUCUUUUCCCCGUGAGUUGAGAUUGUUUCUGUAAUGACUAUGACCAGCAGAAUACAGUAAAAAUGAUGCUUCUCUAUGUCUACAACCAGACCUUAAAUAAUUACAAGCCCUUACUUCCUGCUCCUUAGCCAGGGAGGCCAGGAUAGUCUGACCAUGCUCAAGAGACGUAUCAGACAGGUGAAUGAAGGGCCUCAAGCCAAGGUUAUCACUGAGUACUGCUGGAGAGCCUCAAAACAAUGGCACAAGGAACAGAAGUCAUCUAUGUGAGUCAGAUCAAAAUUCCAGACCCAGCUUCUGAGAUAUAAGUACCCUAAGUUAUUACUGGUGACAACUAACAUGGUAUCAUGAAUUGCAGCCUAGUAUUGAAUGGGAAGAACCUAGAAAGUAUUUUUGACAACUCAUACAUGUAUUCAAUGUAUGUUGAUAUAUACACUACCUCUCAGACCAUUCAACACAUCUCCUCCUCACCUUCAUCUUUUCCUAGCAAAUGUUUAUUAGUUAAAUGCCCUAUAUAAUCACUUUGCCAAUCAAUUUUACAAAUCAGAUGGAUCUUAGUAGUCUCUGAAUUUUUGUCUUUCAAUGAGACUAUAGAUCCUCUUAGAGGUAACAUCUUUUUAAUAACGUAAAAAUUUCUGAAGAUUAAAAAAUCUCAUUAAAAUUAUUAAAUCAAUGUGUUAUCAAUUGCCUGCUGGAAUUUCUUCAAUUAAAAUCUGUUUUUUCUUUAACCCUAGUCUUGGUUUUCAAAAAUCAGUCCCUAUCUUAGCUAGCCUGUCUGGGGUGAAUACAUAUUUCUAGUCAUUAAGGCUCAAUAUAUUCAUCUCUGUCUUUCAUACUUUUCCUUCACCAAUCUCUAGUAUACACUGCAUUUUAAAUUUUAUUAUGCACUUUUAUCACUAAUAUGAUGAUUCCAUAGGUUAACUAGAAUUGAUUAAUAUUUCAUCCAAAUAUUUACUGAGGACCUAUGAGGUGACUAGUUAUAAAUAAGGAAGCAGCAUCAGACAGGCUAAGUGACUUACCAGAGGUGACAGAUCUGUGUAAUUAUCAGCCCUGUGACUCUAACAUCAGCAUUCUUCUCAUUCUCUAUGAUGACUCUCAUCAACUCAUAUUUGGUCCAUUAUUAUAGAUAAAAAUAGACCAGAGCUUAUAGGGCCUGAAUCAUCUUAGGCCCCAACUAAAGCCUGGUGAGCAUAGUGUGCUAAUGGCCUUGGUCUAGCCUCUCAUAUGAUAAAGAAAAAUAACAAAAUAAUCUCGCUUUUCUUUUGUUUUUUGAGACAGGGUUUCUCUGUAUAGCCCUGGCCCUGGCUGUCCUGGAACUCACUCUGUAGACCAGGCUGGCCUCGAACUCAGAAAUCUGCCUGCCUCUGCCUCCCGAGUGCUGGGAUUAAAGGCAGCACCACCACACCAGGCUUGCCCUCUUAAUUCAAAGAGAUUCGACUGCCUCUGCUUCUUGAGUGCUGGUAUUAAAGGUAUGUGCCAUCAUACCAGCCAAGCUCGGUUUUCAAGCAGCUGAUCAUAUUGUCUAAAUUUGUAUGCAUACUUGCUUUUGUUUACUGCAUAUUCUUUCACUCUGCCAACUAAGUUGAAUAGAAUUCUUUACUAAGGUAGGAUGACUAAAACAUACAUUGCGGUAUGAUCUAGGUCAUAGUUGAGGCCCUUAAGAGAUUAAUCCAUCCCCCUCUCCCCUCCCCUAUAUAUAGUGGACUAGUAGAUUAGUUCUCUGGGUCAGAGACCAUAAAGAGGAACCUUGGUGAGAAAUCCUACAUUCCAAAUAUCAUUCAUUCCAUUGAAUAGCAGCACUCCAGAUUUCUUCUGUUAAUUGGGAUCCCUCACUCCUGCCAGUUCCCUUUCUCUACCUUUUGGUUUCAUGUUGUAAGAAGCCUAAACUUGGAGCUCAAGAGAUGGCUCCGCUGGUAAUGACCCAUGUACUGGUUAUGUAUCUGUGACCCAAUGCUGAGAGCCACAGAUUCCUAAAGCUCAUUGCCCAGCCACCCUAUCCAAAUCCAUGAGCCCUGGGUUCAGAGAGAGACUAUCUC
rnacentral:lncRNA from 1 species